rnacentral:rRNA from 1 species
UACAGAGGGGGCAAGCGUUGUUCGGAAUUACUGGGCGUAAAGGGCGCGUAGGCGGCCUUCUAAGUCGAACGUGAAAUCCCCGGGCUCAACCCGGGAACUGCGUCCGAUACUGGAAGGCUUGAAUCCGGGAGAGGGAUGUGGAACUCCAGGUGUAGCGGUGAAAUGCGUAGAUAUCUGGAGGAACACCGGUGGCGAAGGCGACAUCCUGGACCGGUAUUGACGCUGAGGCGCGAAAGCCAGGGGAGCAAAGCGGGG